GAUUUCAACUGAAAAAGUCAUUAACAACAAAGUUGUAUAACUCAUCAAGAUCUAUAACUUUUAUUUUGGUCAUUUCAUUAUCCGACAAAGUGAUAGUAACAUUGUUCACAAAAUUCACAUAUCUCUCAUCUAGUUUUAUAAACUAUAACACAGAUAUGUAAUUUUGUGAACAAUGUUACUAACACUUUGUCGGAUGAAGAAAUGGCUAAAAUAAAAGUUAUAGAUCUUGAUGAGUUAUAUAACUUUGUUGUUGAUGACGUUUUUAGUUGAAAUC
rfam:Oryza barthii chromosome 3, whole genome shotgun sequence.